rnacentral:rRNA from 1 species
AAGUGGAUUAGUGGCGCACGGGUGAGUAACGCAUAGAUAACAUGCCCUUUAGUCUGGGAUAGCUACUGGAAACGGUGAUUAAUACUAGAUACUCCCUAAGGGGGAAAGAAUUUCGCUAAAGGAUUGGUCUAUGUCCUAUCAGCUUGUUGGUAAGGUAAUGGCUUACCAAGGCUAUGACGGGUAUCCGGCCUGAGAGGGUGAACGGACACACUGGAACUGAGACACGGUCCAGACUCCUACGGGAGGCAGCAGUAGGGAAUAUUGCUCAAUGGGGGAAACCCUGAAGCAGCAACGCCGCGUGGAGGAUGAAGGUUUUAGGAUUGUAAACUCCUUUUGUUAGAGAAGAUU